GAAUAUUGGACAAUGGAGGAAACUCUGAUGCAGCGACGCCGCGUGAGGGAAGAAGGUCUUCGGAUUGUAAACCUCUGUCUUUGGGGAAGAUAAUGACGGUACCCAAGGAGGAAGCCACGGCUAACUACGUGCCAGCAGCCGCGGUAAUACGUAGGUGGCAAGCGUUGUCCGGAAUUACUGGGUGUAAAGGGAGCGUAGGCGGGUACGCAAGUUGAAUGUUUAGCCUAUCGGCUCAACCGAUAGUCGCGUUCAAAACUGCGGAUCUUGAGUGAAGUAGAGGCAGGCGGAAUUCCUAGUGUAGCGGUGAAAUGCGUAGAUAUUAGGAGGAACACCAGUGGCGAAGGCGGCCUGCUGGGCUUUUACUGACGCUGAGGCUCGAAAGCAUGGGGAGCAAACAGG
rnacentral:rRNA from 1 species